UGUAGCUCAGUGGCAGAGCAUGUGCUUAGUGUGUACAAGGCCCUGGGUUUUAUUCUCAGCA
rnacentral:tRNA from 1 species